UCUAUAUAUAUAUGAAUAUAUAUAUAUAUAAAUUCUAUCAAAUUGUUAAAAAAAAAACAGGACAACUAACACAACUUUUCUCUCUGGCUACACGCAACACUCAGAACAGGUAAAAAGAAAGAUAUGAAUCAUUUGUCGUAAAGGAAAAGCUUUGAUUUUGAAAGUAUGUUUGAAUUUAAUAGGCUUUUUCAAAUUUAUAUACGAGGUCUGUUCAAAAAGUAACGCGAAUUUUUCGUUUUGAUUUCUGCGUGUGUUAUGUAUGAAAUUUUUUAUACUCAUCCCUCAUUUAUGCCAACAAGUUGGAAUUUAUAGGCUUUUCAAAUUUAUAAACGAGCUUGGACGUGCUUUGGUUCGUCUUCGAUUUUCCCUAUUCCAAAAAGUGCAAAAAUCUGUAUUGUUUCUUGUGACCGGAACUGAAGGGACUCAUGAAAGGACGACACUAUAAUAUGAAUGAAGACGACAAAGAGCAUAGAAGGAGAACAAGAAAACAAAGAUUGGGUAAAAACAUUGGAAUAUGUUUAUGUAAUGGCUGAUGAGGCUUACUUUAAAGGGCACAAAAUAGAAUUUCAUGAACUAAUUAAACUAUUUAAAAAACGCUUAAAAUUCGCGAUACUUUUUCAACAGAUCCAACAAAAAAUAUUAAAAAAAAAAACAAAAA